rnacentral:rRNA from 1 species
UUGAACGCUGGCGGAAUGCUUUACACAUGCAAGUCGAGCGGCAGCACGGGGGGCAACCCUGGUGGCGAGCGGCGAACGGGUGAGUAAUACAUCGGAACAUGCCCAGUCGUGGGGGAUAACACUUCGAAAGAAGUGCUAAUACCGCAUACGUCCUGAGGGAGAAAGCGGGGGAUCGCAAGACCUCGCGCGAUUGGAGUGGCCGAUGUCAGAUUAGCUAGUUGGUGGGGUAAAGGCCUACCAAGGCAACGAUCUGUAGCUGGUCUGAGAGGAUGAUCAGCCACACUGGGACUGAGACACGGCCCAGACUCCUACGGGAGGCAGCAGUGGGGAAUUUUGGACAAUGGACGCAAGUCUGAUCCAGCCAUUCCGCGUGCAGGAUGAAGGCCCUCGGGUUGUAAACUGCUUUUGUACGGAACGAAAAGGUUUCUAUUAAUACUAGGAGCUCAUGACGGUACCGUAAGAAUAAGCACCGGCUAACUACGUG